AUACGGAGGGUCCAAGCGUUAUCCGGAAUCAUUGGGUUUAAAGGGUCCGCAGGCGGUCAAUUAAGUCAGAGGUGAAAGUCCAUCGCUCAACGAUGGAACUGCCUUUGAUACUGGUUGACUUGAGUUAUACGGAAGUAGAUAGAAUAAGUAGUGUAGCGGUGAAAUGCAUAGAUAUUACUUAGAAUACCGAUUGCGAAGGCAGUCUACUACGUAUAUACUGACGCUGAGGGACGAAAGCGUGGGGAGCGAACAGGAUUAGAAACCCUAGUAGUCC
rnacentral:rRNA from 1 species